rnacentral:rRNA from 1 species
UACGUAGGGUGCAAGCGUUGUCCGGAAUUAUUGGGCGUAAAGAGCUCGUAGGCGGUUUGUCGCGUCUGCUGUGAAAACCCGAGGCUCAACCUCGGGCCUGCAGUGGGUACGGGCAGACUAGAGUGCGGUAGGGGAGAUUGGAAUUCCUGGUGUAGCGGUGGAAUGCGCAGAUAUCAGGAGGAACACCAAUGGCGAAAGCAGGCUUCUGGGCUAUCACUGACGCUGAUCUGCGAAAGCUAGGGGAGCAAACAGG